ACUUGGAGGCAGGGGGCAUUCUUCGAAUUAUGCCCUUAAUGUAGCCACCUGUAAGACCAGCCCUGAGAGAUUCAGUCCUCUUUCCCUACUCAUCUGUUAAGUGUUUACUGAACUUCUACUAUUAGCCAGGCAUUGGUCUAGGAGCUAGAAACUUAUCAGCGCACAAAGAAGACAAACUGUCAACAAAUAGGAGAUAAACACUAGGUGAAUCUAUGAGCUGUUUAUAAGGGAAGAGCGGGAACAGUACUUAGAUAACGUGGUCAGGGAAGGUAUCACAGCAGGGGGGAAAUUUUGGCCUGAAGACUGGAAAAAAAAAACAAGCCAGCCAGGCAAAUCGCCAGAGGGAAUGCAAGCCAGGCAAACAGAACAGCAAGUGCAUAUUCCUGAGUGAGAAAGAAGCGGCCAUGCUUAAGGAGAGAAGGUGGCCACAUGGCAGAGUGCAAGACAGCAUGAAAUAGAUGAGCUCACCAAAAGAUCGUCAGGGACCAGACCAGCAUGUGCCUGGGCUUGGAGACAGGGAGGCAUGAAAAAAUUGGAGGCUACUUCGGCAACCUUCCUCAUGUGAUCUGGACCACGAUGGUGGAAGUAGAAACGGAUGCAUGGAUAAACAGAUACAACAUUUACUGCAAUUGCCAAAGAAGCUGCCCAUCACUGUCACGCCAGCUGCACAGUCUUCACUGAGGGAGCUUCCAAGUGCCAUUUUAUUAAUGUGGAGAGAAGAAUAACAGAUCAUAAAUGUUUGAGGUCUAUCCAGCCGGAGUACAGGGGAUUAUCUAUUAUCCUGUGAGCUCGUGUUUUAUUCAUCUUCGUGUUCCCGUGAAUUAUACAGUGCAAAAACUGCUUAGAAGGCUUCCCCUCCUAGACAGCCCAACAGCACCUCAACCUCAGCCGGAAUGAAACUGAAUGUGUUACUGCGCACCCAAACAGAGCUUCUCUUCCUGCUUUCUCUCUCCUGGCGCAGUGGCUCACACCUGUAAUCCCAGCACUUU
rnacentral:lncRNA from 1 species